UACAGAGACUGCAAGCGUUAUUCGGAUUCACUGGGCGUAAAGGGCGCGUAGGCGGCCUGCUAAGUCGAACGUGAAAUCCCUGGGCUCAACCCAGGAACUGCGUCCGAUACUGGUUGGCUUGAAUCCGGGAGAGGGAUGUGGAAUUCCAGGUGUAGCGGUGAAAUGCGUAGAUAUCUGGAGGAACACCGGUGGCGAAGGCGACAUCCUGGACCGGCAUUGACGCUGAGGCGCGAAAGCCAGGGGAGCAAACGGG
rnacentral:rRNA from 1 species